rnacentral:rRNA from 1 species
ACUACGGGGGGCUGCAGUGGGGGAUAUUGCACAAUGGGGGAAACCCUGAUGCAGCGACGCCGCGUGUGGGAAGACGGUCCUCUGGAUUGUAAACCACUGUCCCCAGGGACGAAGAUGACGGUACCUGGGGAGGAAGCUCCGGCUAACUACGUGCCAGCAGCCGCGGUAAUACGUAGGGAGCGAGCGUUGUCCGGAAUUACUGGGUGUAUAGGGAGCGUAGGCGGGACUGCAAGUUGGGUGUCAAAUCUACCGGCUCAACCGGUGGCCGCACUCAAAACUGCAGUUCUUGAGUGAAGUAGAGGCAGGCGGAAUUCCUGGUGUAGCGGUGAAAUGCGUAGAUAUUAGGAGGAACUCCAGUGGCGAAGGCGGCCUGCUGGGCUUUUACUGACGCUGAGGCUCGAAAGUGUGGGGAGCAAACAGGAUUAGAUACCCUAGUAGUC